UGCGUAGGCGGGUUUUUAAGUCAGAGGUGAAAUCCUGGAGCUCAACUCCAGAACUGCCUUUGAUACUGAAAGUCUUGAGUAUGGGAGAGGUGAGUGGAACUGCGAGUGUAGAGGUGAAAUUCGUAGAUAUUCGCAAGAACACCAGUGGCGAAGGCGGCUCACUGGCCCAUUACUGACGCUGAGGCACGAAAGCGUGGGAGGCAAACA
rnacentral:rRNA from 1 species